AACGAACGCUGGCGGCAGGCCUCAAACAUGCAAGUCUAGGGGGUGUAGCAAUACAUCACCGGCGGACGGGUGCGUAACGCGUGGGAAUAUACCUAUCGAUUCGGAACAACUGAGGGAAACUUCAGCUAAUACCGAAUACGUCCUAACGGAGAAAGAUUUAUCGUCGAUAGAUUAGCCCGCGUUCGAUUAGCUAGUUGGUGGGGUAACGGCCCACCAAGGCGACGAUCGAUAGCUGUUCUGAGAGGAAGAUCAGCCACACUGGGACUGAGACACGGCCCAGACUCCUACGGGAGGCAGCAGUUGGGAAUCUUGGACAAUGGGGGAAACCCUGAUCCAGCCAUGCCGCGUGAGUGAUGAAGGCCUUAGGGUUGUAAAGCUCUUUACCCGAGAUGAUAAUGACAGUAUCGGGAGAAUAAGCUCCGGCUAACUCCGUGCCAGCAGCCGCGGUAAU
rnacentral:rRNA from 1 species